GACAGGGUGGCGAGACCAAGUAACUGCUCCAAGGUCCCAGGCUGGGCGGCGGAGCCCGGCUCGGUCAGACGCGGAUCCAGGCCGGACUCCACGUCUUCCUGCUCCGAAACUGAGGGCCAGUGGAGGCACAGGGUGUAAGCAGUGCUUCUCCAUCCGGAAUGUGCCGAUGCAUCCACCUGGGAAACUUGUUACAACACAGAUGCACAUUCAGUUGAUCCAAGGCAGGUGAGGAAACGGGGACAAAUGCCAGAUUCCUGAUCAGAUUUAAGGCUGGACAGAGAUGCGUCCAUCAGAGCCAGAUGAACAGAAGUCAACAGAUGCAAUGUCUAUCCAUCAUGUGGGUUGCCCACAAAAUCAAGAUGGCCAGGAAGCAGCUGGUAUUUACACCUGGGGCUCUCCCCUUGCCCUCACUUGGGCAGAGGCAGAGAAAGAACGUUGCCCAGCAGCACUUUGGGGAGUUCCCCCUCACACACACAUUCCAUGAUAAUCCGCUUCAGUUGUUAUGAUUUGGGCAAGUUGCCUCCAAGGAUAACUCCUGUGGAAAGAUGGCCAUGGAUUUAGGGGGGAGACCUUUUUUCCGAGAUUACCUUUGUAAAUCUGGAUGUGGUCAGGGUGGGUAGAGGGUAAUCUUAGCCACCCACAGGAGAGAUCCUUCUAGACAAUGAAGCAGCACUGAGGACGGCAGAGCCAUGCCCUUGUUCUUCAAAUUACGCAAGUAGGUCAAGUCCCUUUCUUCCCCUUAAGCCAGAGGUUGUCUGAAACUUUCAACUGGAGUAUGCAUAACACACCUGUGUGGAUUGAAGUGUGUCUCCCAGAAAGACGUGUCCAAGUCCCAACCUCUGGUACCUGUGAGUGUGACCUUAGUUGGAGUUAGGGUCUUUGCAGAUAUGAUCAGGCUAAGGUGAGGCCCCAUUAGAUUAGGCUGAGGACGAAGACACACACAGGAGGUAACACCGUGUAGUGAUGGAGGUAGAGAUUGGAGUGAUGCAUCCACAAGCCAAGGCAUGCCAGGAGCCACCAGAAGCUCGGAGAGAGGUGUGGAAAUUCCCUCAGAUUCUCUCUCAGAAACUCCAGAAGAAGGCAACCCCACUGACACCUGAAUUUUGACCUUCUAGUUUCCAGAACCCUGGGAGAAUAAAUUUCUGUUGUUUCGA